UUAACAUCAAGGGAUAAAUCCCGAAAUGGCUCAGUCUGUUUUUGUAAACGGGCGUUAAAUGGUCGUUGAGCGGCGGAAGUGCGUCGGCUGGUUUCUUUCUACUUUAUUUUUGUUGGUUGUUGGCAGUUCACCAGUGAAUUUGUUUUGCAAGCAAAUUUCAAAGGCAUACACGGUCGGCUUGAGUUUUCAGCAGCAAAAUUAUAUAGUGAAACAGCACAAAAUGCUUUGAUACACACAAAAUAGAACAAAAAAAGAUUUUAACGAAAGAUAAAACAUUUGAGUAACAAGCUACUAAAAAAAAAUAAAUAAAUUCAAUAAAAAUCGCAAUUCAUCGAAAACGCCUACGCGUUAGUGCUGCCUCGAGUGCAAUUUGUUUUCGUGGCCAACAAUUCAAAAAAAAAAAAACAAUUAGCGAUUGGUUUCGGUCGCUUGGUUCUGAACCAUUGCCUCUGUGCUUGUUUGUAGUCGCUUGUGUGUGUGUGUGCGCGCGUACGUGAGUCGAUCAGCUGUGGCUUGUGGCGUAAAAUGCCGCUGUUGGCCACCACAUUAUUAUGAUGGAGACAUUCAUUGUCCUUGGGCUAUGUUUCAUUCUAUACGAAGCACUGGAUUUCUUUCAAGGAUGCAUGCAUAGUACAUCACCCAAUUCAACCGAUCAAAUCGAAGCGUAUCGCCGCCAACUGGACGAGCAGCGACAGCAGCAGCAACAAGAGCAGUUCAUCGCCAAUUUAACGCCGCUCUUGGGCGCCCAAUUGUUGGCUGCCACCUCCAACAUUUCACUCUCGCCCAGCGAAUCCUCAGCGAGCAUCAUAAGUGAACAGCUGCGCGCACAACAACAACGCGAACAGCUCGAACAGCUACGUAGCAGCAGUAGCGUGCGCAGUGAACGUAGCAAUAGCGAUAACUCAGCUAGCACGCCAGCGCUCCACAGCAGCGGUUUGGGUAGCACUUUUGGUUCAGCGGCUGGUAGUGGCAGCUUAAGCGCGGCUAGCGCAAGCGUUGGUAGUGUCGGCAGCAGUGGUGGUGCUGCCUUUCGGCCCGCCUAUCGUAGCGUCUACGAGUCACAAGAGUUGUACGCUACCUCAUCGCUGCCGCGCGACUACUACUUCCUGCAACAGCAGCAGCAGAAGAACAAACAUUCGGCGCGUUCACUUUUCUCGAAAUUUGGUGCCUCCAAUUCGGAUAAUCGCAUUUUUCCCGAAACAGCUUCGGUGCUGGGCGUGCCUGCGGGUGUGAUUACCCAACAGCCAGUCGCGAGCGUAAAUCACUUUGAUUGCUUACCGCCCACGGCGACACCUGCUUCGCCUCUGGCAGUAGACUUAAAGCGCGCCAUAUUGAGUAAGAAUAAUUAUAAUAGCAAAAACAAAAACAAUAAAAACGCAACAAACAACGAAAAGAAACGCACAGGGGGUGUGGAAAGUGUGCAGGUGCAUGGUUUGGCGGUAAUAGCCAGUCCAUCGCGUGAUCCACCCAACCCUGCACGUGCUAUCGAACGAGAGAAGCCACGAAAUCGUAUUGCCUCAGCUGCCAACGUUACCGCGAGCGCGUUGCGUAGGCACGAAAGUGACGCCAGUUCAUCGGAUUGUGAAUCGGACUCGAGUGGUGAGUCAUCUGACUCCUCGGCAUCCGCAUCGGCCGGUUCCGCGUCGCUAGCCUCGUGCGGUGAGGACAGUGAUCCUGGGCUAGGCGAAGAACGUGAAUUCGGUCUAUCAAAUUCGGGUUCGUCGUCGCAUGCGGACUUUCGGGAAAUCGAAUGUGAACGUUUGAGACGCAAGUGCGUGAGUGUGAAACGCAUCUACAGUAUAUCGGAGAAGUUUUGAAGUCAAAGUGAGAGAAAUGUGUCACGAAACGGUAAAUGACUGCUUUAGAGCAAAGAGUUUGAAGUUGUAAAAAAAGUACCGAUUAGAAAUAUAAGACUAAACAAAAAUACAAAUGUCAUGGUAUGUAGCACUCGAGUGAAAUGUAACAUUUUUAUAGAACUCUAACUUUGGAAAAGCGAAAAAAAACUAAAAUCAAAAUUACAACGUACAAAAAGUAAAAAAACAAAAAACCGCUAACAAUGUUAUGAACCAACGUAGUGAGAACAGAUUCAAAUUCUAGAGAAAGUGACUCAGAAAUUGCAGGCGAAACUAGGAUAGUAAACAAGUACAGUAGUAGUCUACAUAAAUAAAACGGAGUUGUUUACAUAUGUACAUAACGAAAUAGCUACAAAACGAAGUCAAGUGCAUUUUUUCGUAUAAUAAUUAAACUGCCUACUAAGUAGGCUAAAAGUCUAGUAACAACGAUAAAUAAAAAAAAAUUUGAAAAACUGCAAAUCCAGAAAAAAGUAAUGCGACUCAAAAUAUAAAAAGUAAUCAUUAAAAAACCAAAUCAUCCGAGAAACUUUCAGUAGAAUUUUAAUAGAUUCGCUAUUAAAAACGCAGCGUCAAAAUAAUAAAAGUAGUGUACAAAAUUUAAACGACAACUAAAAAAAAACACCAUGGUGCACUUAAAAAGCAAACUACAACAAAUAAGUAACAAUAACAAGAUUCAAAGCUUACAAAUGUAAAAUCAUCUUAUCCAAUAACAACUUAAUAAAUCACUAAAAAUUCGAAUAAACACCGCCAGCUUUUGUAUCAUAUCAAGAAUAUGGAUUCUUUGGAGCGCCUAUUGCGCGCAGCUCCUCUGCCGCGCACGCUGACAAGCGUGAAUGGUGCUGUCGCUAAGGGUCAACAACGCGCCUUGGUGCACGCCUCUUUGGCAGCAGCCACAGUCGGUCGUAAGGGACGUCAUUUAACUGGCACUUUUUGCCUUACCGGCGACACCAUGGAGGGUAUAAUACAGUGUUUGGUCUUCUUAAAAGCA